rnacentral:pre_miRNA from 1 species
AACCAGUGCAGACAGGCGUGGUCCAGGCAUCUCUGGGCUAGUAUCUCUUUGAGUACCUCACUCUCAAGAACAACUAGAAGG